UAGAUACUGCUACCAGGAUACCAGAAUAUUUCCCAAAAACACUCUCAGCCGAAGAUAGGACAUAGCAUUUCCUCUCUAAGUUCUUGCUGCUCUUGCUUUUUAUAGAACCUCAGCUAUGAAUGAAAGGCUUCAAAAUCCACAGUUGUCUUUUUUUGAGGACUGGGUAUCAUCCUCACGGAUUUGAAUAUGUGCCUUGCAUGUGUGAAACAAACAGGAAGUUUUUACAUUGUGUACAAGCAUUGUAGGUCACUCUGCAUGUCUGUAUUACACGUUCAAGGCCAGUGCCUGAGGAAGGUCUGUUCGCCACCUGUUCCAGUGACGGCAGCCUUCCGAAAUGAUUAGGCCGUGUGUCUUUAGCGCCACCUUUGGGAUAGUUAGGAAAGUGGCAUGUUAAAGUAAACUCACCGAAUAAACAUCCUUCUGUUUGUGCUUUCUCUGACUGAAUCCCUUCUAACACAGCUGUGAGAUUUUAGAAUGGUUAGUUUCAUUUCUUAAAUUUUUGCUGACCAGUGUAAUUAUUAUGAGUGACAGAAUUCUAGUGCUUAAAAAUCCAGAGUUUAGGAGAAUUGGCUAAAGUGUCCUUCAGCAUAGUGUCAGGUCUUGUUUUAUUUUUUCUUACUAACCUCUACACCCAACGUGGGGCUCAAACCUAUGACGCCACGAUCAGGAGCUGCACGCGCUUCGACUAAGCCAGCCAGGUGUCCCUAGCCUCAAGUCUUUAUAGUUAGUAAACUAACAUCAGAGCAGUUUGACAACUCUGAACAAGAGUGACUGGACUGGGUUGGGUUCAGCACAUUUUUUGCUGGCUGGGCUGCAGGUGCCCACCUAUACUUCGUUACUUGUUUAACAGCUCUUUUGUGUACGGAAGUCACUGGUAACAUGGUUAUCACUGAAAUCUGGUGUCUUCAUUUAAGAGUUUUGAGAAUGUGGUUUUUGGAAUAUAAAUAGAGAAACCAGGCAGAUCUCUUUAGGUAUAUUUCUGACUGAGGCAGAAGUGUGUUAACUGGAAACACACACCAAGGGCCAGGGUUUAGGACUCCUGCGGUCUCAGAGUCUGCUCCAGAAUGAGCACCUACCUUGUAUGAACUGCAUCGGCCUGUCGGCAGGGCUCCCGGGACAGCGGCAGCCACACUUAGACUGAAAUAGAGUUCAAGCACGUCUCCAGUUUGCUCUUUCUUUUUACAGAAAGCAAAGAAACCCAAGGCGGCAGAGUCUGUCUCAAAGCCAGGUGUCAGUGAAGAAUCUCCAGGGCCAUCAAAAAUUAAGACAGGGAAGCCUGAAGAAACCAGCCUUGAUUCUAGAGAGAAGAAAGCCAGCUCAGCUCCCAAAAGUGCAGCAGCAAAUGGGAGCUCUUCUGGAAAAGUCGGGAAGCCUCUGUGUGGAACCACAAAGAGGUCCAUUGCCGAAAGCGAAGAAUCGGAAGCUUACAAGUCCCUCUUCACGACUCACAGCUCCGCCAAGCGCUCCAAGGAGGAGUCCGCCCACUGGGUCACCCACACGUCCUACUGUUUCUGAAGCCGCGCAGGCGCCGUCCGGUUUCCAUGCGGCGGGUGGCGUGGGCGUUACUGCGCCCUGUUCUCUGCUAGCUCCCCCUUUGCGCCGAGCUAUAAAGUCCCCCCGAACCUCGGAGCUGGUGUGGUCGCUCGUGCUUGUGAGGCGCCUGGGUUCCCGCGGUGACGUGCUGGCCCUGCCCGCCCCCUCCUGCAGGCUCGUGCCCUCCCCACGGCCCCGGAACAUGCGUUGGCUGCACUUUUUAUGCUUGAGAUAAAGACUCCAGAUUCCUUGGGGUGUGUGGUUGGCCCAUUUUGCCUAAAAUUCUAAUGAUUUUGCUGCCGACAGUGGAACAGGCCAAGCGAAAUUGUACUUUAGAAAGUGAGCUUUACAAGCACUCCGCCUGCAUGUCUGUUUGCCGGCAGCCUCUGUGCCCUCUGAGCAGAGCUUGCCGGUCGAGUAUUUAGGGAGGGUCUUUCUUUUAUCACUUUCAAGACGAGAGCCUUUUAGUUGGGCACCUGAGGGUUUGGUAUAAAAAUAAAGCAAGUCCGCCUUUUCUCUCA